rnacentral:rRNA from 1 species
AUGCCUCUUUCUUUUGAGGCUGAACUUCCAGGCAUGGAUGAAACAAAGGAGUUGUAUGAGGAUGAUGAAGACUUUGGCCAUGUUUGGGUGAAGCACAUCAGGGGCCAGCCAUUAGGUGAUGACUAUUUGGCGCAGGAUGGCUAUCUCUUCAAAAAUGAACGUUUGUGCAUCCCAAGGAGUUCUCUGCGUGACAAACUAAUUAGAGAACUGCAUUCAAGUGAUCUUAGUGGGCAUGUUGGACGGGAAAAGACUAUCGCUAACUUGGAAGCUCGCUACUUUUGGCCACAACUAAAGAGAGAUGUUGGAAAGUUUGUUCAGCGAUGCCCUAUAUGUCAAACAAGCAAAGGCCAAGUCCAGAACACAGGGUUAUACAUGCCUUUGCCUAUUCCUGUCGCUCCAUGGGAGGACAUCUCUAUGGACUUCAUCUUGGGCUUGCCAAGAACAAAACAAGGGAGUGAUGUUGUGUUUGCGGUCGUGGACAGAUUCUCUAAGAUGGCUCAUUUCAUCCCAUGCCGCAAGACAACGGAUGCUCAUCAUGUGGCAAACCUAUUCUUUCAAGAAGUGGACUUCAUGGAGUUCCAAGAUCCAUCAUCUCAGACCAUGAUAGCAAGUUUCUUGCUGCAUUUUGGCUCACUUUGUGGAAGCAAUUCAACACUGAAUUCAAAUUUUCUAGCACUGCUCAUCCACAAACAGAUGGAUAGGAAGUGGUGA